rnacentral:rRNA from 2 species
GAUUCGUCACACUAUCAUUAACUGAAUCCAUAGGUUAAUGAGGCGAACCGGGGGAACUGAAACAUCUAAGUACCCCGAGGAAAAGAAAUCAACCGAGAUUCCCCCAGUAGCGGCGAGCGAACGGGGAGGAGCCCAGAGCCUGAAUCAGCAUGUGUGUUAGUGGAAGCGUCUGGAAAGGCGCGCGAUACAGGGUGACAGCCCCGUACACAAAAGCGCAUGUGCUGUGAGCUCGAUGAGUAGGGCGGGACACGUGGUAUCCUGUCUGAAUAUGGGGGGACCAUCCUCCAAGGCUAAAUACUCCUGACUGACCGAUAGUGAACCAGUACCGUGAGGGAAAGGCGAAAAGAACCCCGGCGAGGGGAGUGAAAAAGAACCUGAAACCGUGUACGUACAAGCAGUGGGAGCACCCUUCGGGGUGUGACUGCGUACCUUUUGUAUAAUGGGUCAGCGACUUAUAUUCUG